AGAAAAAGAAAGAAAAUAUUUUCCGUGUCCCCGCCUGCAGAGUCAGUGUGCGGUUUGGGAGAAAAUGUGUCGGAUAUUUUGGGGCGGUCACGUGGGCGGGCGGGCUCCGGGAGGCCCCGGGACAGUCCCAGCCUAGAGCCGUGCCCCCCCAGGAGCCCCCCAGUACGGCGAGCCCCGGACAUUGCGACGCUCCAUCUAAGAGACCGCCUGACGCCGGGACCUCGGGGCUCCGCCGCCUCCCUUCCCCCUCCCACUCCAGCAGCUACGGCCCAGUUCCCUCAACCUGACCCAGUAUGUAGGAGCCAGUCUCUGCAGGCGGCCAGCCGGGCUUCUUUCGCCGAAGCAUCCAGAAGAACAUGGUGUACACGUGUCACCGCGACAAAAACUGUAUCAUCAACAAGGUGACCAGGAAUCGCUGCCAGUACUGCCGGCUACAGAAGUGCUUCGAAGUGGGCAUGUCCAAGGAAGCUGUGCGAAAUGACCGUAACAAGAAGAAGAAAGAAGUGAAGGAAGAAGGGUCACCUGACAGCUAUGAGCUGAGCCCUCAGUUAGAAGAGCUCAUCACCAAGGUCAGCAAAGCCCAUCAGGAGACUUUCCCCUCGCUCUGCCAGCUGGGCAAGUAUACCACGAACUCCAGUGCAGACCACCGCGUGCAGCUAGAUCUGGGGCUGUGGGACAAGUUCAGUGAGCUGGCUACCAAGUGCAUCAUCAAGAUCGUGGAGUUUGCCAAGCGGUUGCCUGGCUUUACAGGGCUCAGCAUUGCUGACCAGAUCACUCUGCUCAAAGCUGCCUGCCUAGAUAUCCUGAUGCUGCGUAUCUGCACAAGGUACACUCCAGAGCAGGACACCAUGACCUUCUCCGACGGGCUGACCCUGAACCGGACCCAGAUGCACAAUGCCGGCUUCGGGCCCCUCACAGACCUUGUCUUUGCCUUUGCUGGGCAGCUCCUGCCCCUGGAGAUGGAUGACACCGAGACAGGGCUGCUCAGCGCCAUCUGCCUCAUCUGCGGAGACCGCAUGGACCUGGAGGAGCCUGAAAAAGUGGACAAGCUGCAGGAGCCACUGCUGGAAGCCCUGAGGCUGUACGCCCGGCGCCGGAGGCCCAGCCAGCCCUACAUGUUCCCAAGGAUGCUAAUGAAAAUCACCGACCUCCGGGGCAUCAGCACUAAGGGAGCUGAAAGGGCCAUUACUCUGAAGAUGGAGAUUCCAGGCCCGAUGCCUCCCCUAAUCCGAGAGAUGCUGGAGAACCCUGAAAUGUUUGAGGAUGACUCCUCGCAGCCUGGUCCCCACCCCAAUGCCUCUAGCGAGGAUGAGGUUCCCGGGGGCCAGGGCAAAGGGGGCCUGAAGUCCCCAGCCUGACCAGGGCCCCUGACCUCCCCACUGUGGGGGUUGGGGCUCCAGGCAGCAGACUGACCAUCUCCCAGACCGCCAGUGACUGGGGGAGGACCUGCUCUGCCCUCUCCCCACCCCUUCCAAUGAGCUCCUUGUUUUUGCCAAAGUUUCUAGGGGUGCCUCUGUGUUCAUCCCCUUCCUGAUCUAACCGGCUCCCUCGCCAGUCCCGGGGGCCUGCCCUGCUCCCACCAGGAGAGAGGGCAGAGGGAUGAGCCUGGGUUUGGACUCU
rnacentral:sRNA from 1 species